rnacentral:rRNA from 1 species
GACGAACGCUGGCGGCGUGCCUAAUACAUGCAAGUAGAACGCUGAAGCGAGGAGCUUGCUCUUCUUGGAUGAGUUGCGAACGGGUGAGUAACGCGUAGGUAACCUGCCUUGUAGCGGGGGAUAACUAUUGGAAACGAUAGCUAAUACCGCAUAACAAUGGAUGACACAUGUCAUUUAUUUGAAAGGGGCAAUUGCUCCACUACAAGAUGGACCUGCGUUGUAUUAGCUAGUAGGUGAGGUAAUGGCUCACCUAGGCGACGAUACAUAGCCGGCCUGAGAGGGUGAUCAGCCACGCAGGGACUGAGACACGGCCCAGACUCCUACGGGAGGCAGCAGUAGGGAAUCUUCGGCCAUGGGGGCAACACUUACCGAACAACGCCGCGUGAGUGAAGAAGGUUUUCGGAUCGUAAAGCUCUGUUGUAAGUCAAGAACGGGUGUGAGAGUGGAAAGUUCACACUGUGACGGUAGCUUACCAGAAAGGGACGGCUAACUACGUG